rnacentral:rRNA from 1 species
UGGGGAAUAUUGGACAAUGGGCGAAAGCCUGAUCCAGCCAUGCCGCGUGUGUGAAGAAGGCCUUUUGGUUGUAAAGCACUUUAAGCGAGGAGGAGGCUACUUGGAUUAAUACUCUAGGAUAGUGGACGUUACUCGCAGAAUAAGCACCGGCUAACUCUGUGCCAGCAGCCGCGGUAAUACAGAGGGUGCGAGCGUUAAUCGGAUUUACUGGGCGUAAAGCGUGCGUAGGCGGCUUCUUAAGUCGGAUGUGAAAUCCCUGAGCUUAACUUAGGAAUUGCAGUCGAUACUGGGAAGCUAGAGUAUGGGAGAGGAUGGUAGAAUUCCAGGUGUAGCGGUGAAAUGCGUAGAGAUCUGGAGGAAUACCGAUGGCGAAGGCAGCCAUCUGGCCUAAUACUGACGCUGAGGUACGAAAGCAUGGGGAGCAAACAGG